GUGUGAAUUAAUGCGAACUGCAUACUGCUUUGAACAUCGACAUCUUGAACGCAUAUUGCGGCCACGGGUUAGCCUGUGGCCACGCCUGUCCGAGGGUC
rnacentral:rRNA from 1 species